AAGCCAGUUGUUAAUCUGCUUACCUGAAUGUGUUUGUGCAGAAACUUAGAAAAAGAUGGCAAUAGUAAUGCCAUGAUAAGAGCCUUGAGGACAAUCACAGUCAUUAACAACCCUGAAAAUGGCUACAACA
rnacentral:snoRNA from 1 species